AACGAACGCUGGCGGCGUGCUUAACACGUGCAAGUCGAGCGGAAAGGCCUUUCGGGGUACUCGAGCGGCGAACGGGUGAGUAACACGUGAGUAAUCUGCCCUUGGCUUUGGGAUAACUACCGGAAACGGUGGCUAAUACCGGAUACGACCAAUCACUGCAUGGUGUGUUGGUGGAAAGUUUUUUCGGCCAGGGAUGUGCUCGCGGCCUAUCAGCUUGUUGGUGGGGUAAUGGCCUACCAAGGCUUCGACGGGUAGCCGGCCUGGGAGGGUGACCGGCCACACUGGGACUGAGACACGGCCCAGACUCCUACGGGAGGCACCAGUGGGGAAUAUUGGACAAUGGGCGGAAGCCUGAUCCAGCAACGCCGCGUGAGGGAAGACGGCCUUCGGGUUGUAAACCUCUUUCAGUACCGACGAAGCGCCGAUGAUGGUGGUGACGGUAGGUACAGAAGAAGCACCGGCCAACUACGUGCCAGCCGCCGCCGUAAAAC
rnacentral:rRNA from 1 species